AGAGUUUGAUCCUGGCUCAGAAUGAACGUUGGCGGCGUGGACUAGGCAUGCAAGUCGUACGCAUAGCUUCGGCUAUGAGUGGCGCAAGGGUGAGUAAUGCGAAGGUAACCAACCCUGGUGUUGGGCAUAGCCGCGGGAAACUGCGGGUAAUUCCCAGCGACGUCACGAGAUGGCAUCAUCUUGUGACCAAAGGUGUGAUUCCGCUCUAGGACGGGCCUUCGUGGUAUUAGGUAGUUGGUGAGGUAACGGCUCACCAAGCCGACGAUGCCUACCGGGUGUGAGAGCAUGACCCGGCACACUGGAACUGAGACACUGUCCAGACACCUACGGGUGGCUGCAGUCGAGAAUCUUCGGCAAUGGGCGAAAGCCUGACCGAGCGACGCCGCGUGAGGGAUUGAAGGCCUUCGGGUUGUAAACCUCUUUCGUAGAGGAGGGAGGGGCCGUGAAGAACGGUCUUUGACCUAUUCUAGGAAGAAGCUUGGGCUAAGUUCGUG
rnacentral:rRNA from 1 species